AUUGAACGCUGGCGGCAGGCCUAACACAUGCAAGUCGAACGAGGGGCGGACGGGUGAGUAAUGUCUGGGAAACUGCCUGAUGGAGGGGGAUAACUACUGGAAAAGGUAGCUAAUACCGCAUACCAUCGGAUGUACCCAGAUGGGAUUAGCUAGUAGGGGGGGUAAAGGCUCACCUAGGCGACGAUCCCUAGCUGGUCUGAGAGGAUGAACAGCCAAACUGGAACUGUGACACGGUCCAGACUCCUCCGGUAGGCAGCCGUGGGGAAUAUUGGACAAUGGGCGAAAGCCUGGUGAAGCCAUGCCGCGUGUAUGAAGAAGGCCUUCGGGUUGUAAAGUACUUUCAGCUGGGAGGCGUUACCCGCAGAAGAAGCACCGGCUAACUCCGUGCCAGCAGCCGCGGUAAUUC
rnacentral:rRNA from 1 species